UACGUAGGGGGCAAGCGUUGUCCGGAUUUAUUGGGCGUAAAGAGCGUGUAGGCGGCCUGAAAGGUCAGCUGUGAAAACUCGAGGCUCAACCUCGAGACGUCGGUUGAAACCAUCUGGCUAGAGUCCGGAAGAGGAGUGUGGAAUUCCCGGUGUAGCGGUGAAAUGCGCAGAUAUCGGGAAGAACACCCGUGGCGAAGGCGGCACUCUGGGACGGUACUGACGCUUAGACGCGAAAGCGUGGGGAGCGAACAGG
rnacentral:rRNA from 1 species